GCAGCGAAAAGUUAAUUCGAUUUAGCUCUUUUCUUACAUUUAAAUAAUCCUGUAUUUAGUUUAAAUUAUCGUUGAAUUCACUCGAGAGUUCGGGCGAUAAAGUCGGGAUCAAAACGUUGGCAAAGUAGUUGCUGUACAUUUGGAGGUUAUCUAACGUGAGUUAGCACAUGCGAAUUAUUAAGAUACUAGCUAGUUAAAACUUAUAACUAAGAAGAACAUGCAAAUUAAACUUAAAACUAUUAUCACAGGCUUCGCGGUGCUGGUACACAAAGGGUGUCGACUCAGUUGCCAAGACUAGAGUAGCAGACCAAUCUUUUAGCGUGUCAAACUGCUGAAAAGAACUGCGUUUUCUCUCGCAACA